CUUCCUUCUUCAAUAUUCUCAUUUUCAUACCAUUAGUCUCUGACAUAACAAUUACUUUGCACAAUCAUAGCUAAAAAAGAAAUGCACUGUAUCUAACCAACUUCUGUCUAAUGUCCAGGUGACAUGGCUAUAUAUUUUUAACACAAUUCAAACAGGAAAAAGUGUUGCCACAUGUUGGCUAAAACAAUCUUCAAUCUUCAUGAUUGAGCAUUAGUGCUUUGUGAUAAUUUUCAUGAAAUACUGUCUUGGAGAAACAACUUGCCAACAAUCAUAGAUUAGUUUAGAUCAGUUUCCAUCAGAAGCAUUGAAGAUCAAACAUCAAAUAAUG
rnacentral:sRNA from 1 species